AUGUUAUUCAUCGCAAUUAGUAAUAUUGUCUUGCUCUGUCCCAUACUUUCUAGCUCCCUCCUAAUAAGACUCACAUUCUUUUUUCAACAAAUGAGGUUCAAGUUGGAUCUGAAAGAUGAUGCAACUAAACAAGCAUGCACUCAUGUUUUUCAGUCUGCUCUACGACGGUAUCGGUACCACCUUAGAAAAUCUCACUUUGAAGGCAAGGCUAACAAUGAAAUCGCCCAAACAUCUCCAGUGGAAUAUAUUACGGAUGAAAACUGGACAACCCUCGUUAAACACUGGUCUGAUCCAAAGUAUCAGAGGAAAGCCCAUGCUGAACAAAAAGAACCUGAACCGAAUGCAGUGCAAAUCUUCAAGGAUUGUCAUACCGGCAAGAUGAAGGGCAUGAUCACACCAGUUCAAGCCGCUGUUGGAGCUAUGGAACAAAUGAUUGAACAACCACAACCACCUGAAGGUGACGAGGCUACUACAGGCACAAUGUCACCUCUUGCUGUAGUGUGUCAAUAUCUCUCCACUAAUAGUGCAAAAAGCACCUUCCUGCGUAAUUUUGGGUUGGUUGUCAAGGUAACCUCGUCCAAAUCACCUUCUGAACAAAAUCUUCCUGCUAGAUAG
rnacentral:rRNA from 1 species